GACAGAGGGUGCGAGCGUUAAUCGGAAUUACUGGGCGUAAAGCGCGCGUAGGUGGUGAUGUAAGUUAGAUGUGAAAGCCCCGGGCUUAACCUGGGAAUUGCAUCUAAUACUGCAUUGCUAGAGUCGAUUAGAGGGAAGUGGAAUUUCCGGUGUAGCGGUGAAAUGCGUAGAUAUCGGAAAGAACACCAGUGGCGAAGGCGACUUUCUGGAAUCAGACUGACACUGAGGUGCGAAAGCGUGGGGAGCGAACAGG
rnacentral:misc_RNA from 1 species